AUACGGAGGAUCCGAGCGUUAUCCGGAUUUAUUGGGUUUAAAGGGUGCGCAGGCGGCCAUUUAAGUCAGCGGUUAAAUCGUGGGGCUCAACCCCAUUCUGCCGUUGAUACUGGGUGGCUUGAUUGCGGUCGAGGUUGGCGGAAUUCGUUGUGUAGCGGUGAAAUGCAUAGAUAUGACGAAGAACACCGAUUGCGUAGGCAGCUGACCAGACCGCAAAUGACGCUCAUGCACGAAGGUGCGGGGAUCGAACAGGAUUAGAUACCCUGGUAGUCCGCACAGUAAACGAUGAAUACUUGUUUUCGGCGAUAUAAUGUCGGAGGCAAAGCGAAAGCGAUAAGUAUUCCACCUGGGGAGUACGCCGGCAACGGUGAAACUCAAAGGAAUUGACGGGG
rnacentral:rRNA from 1 species